rnacentral:lncRNA from 1 species
AAGAUUUUAUUUGCCUGAAUCCAAAUUACAAAUCCAAAUUUCAUGUUUGGCUGGCACUAGCAUUUUGAGAUGAAAUCCUUACCAACACCAAAAUGAGCAAGAAUGUAACACUGAACCUUUGAUGUUCACACGUACAAAAAUGGUUUGCAUUAAAUUGAACCGUAGAAGUACACAUAAAUGAAAAACAGAAGGAGGAGCUUCAACAUAGGACUUUGUGAAAAGUUCAAUCUUAACAGUACAGCAGAGGUUCAUAGCAACAUAAAAUUAUCACAAUUUAGCCAAGAUUACAUAAAACUGAAGCUUUGCAGCUUUUUUGCAGCUUUGCAUUACUAGCUCAACCAAGGAAGAUUUCCAUUGCUUGAUUUGCUUGAGGAUCCUUUUUUCCUCAUUUUUUCAUUCAACACCAUACUUCUUCCAAAACUUGAUGCCCUUUUGCAUGUAGAAAGCGGUUUCUUUUAUUUUUCCUGCAAACUAACAUGAGAAAUGGUCUCAUACUGUACAUGUAAACAGUCAUCAAUGGAAACUGCAGUUUGUAAGCUAUAAUGGCGACAUUAGCGAAUUGUAUAUUUUCUAAUGAUGGUAGAAAAAGAGUAGAAUUUUACUUGAGAUAUUGCGUACAAUAUACUGGUUUGAGAGUACAACAAACAAAAAUGGAAUUCUAUGUUCUGAACUUCCAACUUUGACAACAAGAUUAAUGUAAAUUGCAGAUACAAUACAAACAAAGCAGAUCAUAACAACAUGGCGAUAUUGGCUAUCUCUUCAGGUGCCCGAGGGGACGUUUACAUGUUUAUAGCUGAUCAUACACAAGUAGCAAGCUUCAGUUUAGCUUAUAGGAUAUGUGUAUUUAUCAUCUAUGGUCACAUGUACUACUCACUUUGUUUACACAAGCAUGCAAGCAAAUAUACAAGACAAGCACAAUUUAAAUUUUGAGCCACAAAGAGAGGUGUGCAAAUGUGCCAUACAGAAGAGAAAUGAACAUGUUUUGAGGUAUGGAGGAAAUACACUCCCAAGGACAGUAGCAGAAAUGACCAUAUUUCUUUUGCCUAAAUCUGAACGUAUACUAUGACAAUAUACUACUACUAAUAUUGUUUCAGCGCAGUCUAGUAAAAGGAAGCAGCAAGGAAAAGUAACAACAUUUUCAGAGAGCAUUUCAAAGAACAUUUUCAGAGAACUCCAAGCAAAAGUAAUAUAUCUCUGCAGUUUCAUUCCUCAAAGGGAGAUAGAACAAAGUAAAUCUGGGUCACUACUAGCGCACGAUCAGUACAUCCAUAUCUACUAUUGUUAAAUGUAGGCCACGGCUACAAUACUACAACAGAAAACGUCAUCCAUGGCAAUGAAUAUACAACUGAACUUCAGACACUAGCCACCUACACUGCCGUCCUAGUGGGAGAGAGGAGGGAGGUCUAGUGCUCGGUCGUUGCGCCGACGGAGCAGAGUGCAGGCGCGCUGGAGGAGGGCGGGCCGUACCAGAGAGCAGGUCGCACCAGAGGGGAGGGCAGGCCGCGCCAGAGCGCAGGGCAGGUCGCACCAGGGCGGAGGGGAGGGGAGUCCACGAACGGGGCAUGUCCUCUGCUACGGCGGGCGGAGCUGGUUUCGGUCGCCGGAGGGUGGACGGGGAGGCGCCCAUGUCCGGGGCAGAACAUCGAGGAGGCGUGCGUCGCAGGGGGUCGUCGUGUGAGGAGGAGCUGGGCGAUGUCAGGGGCACCCUAGGUGGCAGCGGAGGCGCGACGGCGUACCAGAGGUAGGUGACGGGGUCGGGCGCCGGCGCUUCAUAGAGGGAGGCGGCGCCGGGGUCGCACGCCAGUGCUUGGUGGUGGCAGGCGGCGGUGGGAUCAAUCCCGGCCGGAUCCGGGGGAAGGAGGCGGCGGUGGCCGGAUCCCGGGGAGGGAGCUGCGCGGCGGCCUGAUCCCGGGGAGGGAGCUGCGCGGCGGCCGGAUUUAGGACCGGUGGCGGACCGGCUGGUUCUCGAGGAAGGGGAUGGGGUGGUGCGGGAGGUGCGGGACUGGGUGGGUUUUCUUAUUUAUUUUUCUCCGUGGCUUCGGAAGUUCGGGAACGCCUCUUCGGGCCCUAUAUAGAGAGCCGUGAUUCAAAUAACUAUUUUAAUUCCAGAAUUAAAAUAAUAUUGUCUUAUAUAUAUAUAUAUAAUAACACUAUUCUAAUUAUAUAAUUAGAAUAACUAUUUAGAUGACGGAGCGCGGCGAGCAAAUUGUUCCCGAGAUCUCAAAGAAGAAGAAAAAAGCCUGACCAACCGCCC